AUGGAGGCGGAGGGGGAGGACUUGUGGUCGAUGAUGGCGGCGGAGACGGAGACGGCGGAGGAGUGGAAGCUGGCGCGUGAGUCCGAGUGCCGUUUGCGCAAUUGCGAGUGCCGCUGGCGUAGUCUCUGCUCCCCCCGGAUCCCCCGCGUGGCCCCCGGGACGGACUACUCUUCCACCCCCGCCGGUGCCGGCGCCGGCGCCGGCGCCGACCGCCCCGGCUGGUCGCUGCUCGUCGGCCUCAAGGACGGCGUCGUCCUACGGCUCAAACGCUUCCGCGUGGCGCGGUCCGGGCGGAUCCUCGGCCGGAGCGACGACGCGCUCGAGGCUUUCCACGACAUCAAGACGCGGACUGGUCGCAGGUUCGACGCCAGCGCCGCCCUGGCUCCCGACGGCCGCUCGCUCUGCGUCCUGCGCCAGGAGGACGACGGUGCCGGCAAGCAACCCCAUGCCCUGCACCUAACUCUGCAGCAGCCCCAGACAGACACAUCUCCGGAGCAUCUUCCUUUCCCGCCGGAGAUUCAAGCAGGGAGGAGUCGUAACUGCAUGCCCAUCUCCGCCGCUGGCCACAUCUUUGCUGUGUGCCCCAUCGUAGAAUAUGGCGUCAAGUUGAGCCUCCUCAUGCGACCCCUGCAUCCGCUCCCCGAGGGCGGGGGCGUGGGCCAAUGGGAGCAGGUCGGCCAACACAAACACGACAAGGACAAGUACCGGUGGUUGGGCGGCGGGUUCCUCCAGGGCUACGCCGUGCUCCCCGGCCCCCUCAUCCUCAUAUCCUUGAAGCAAGACCGCGGCUUCUUCACCUUCGCCCCUUGCUUCGGCUCCCGCGACUGGACCCCGGUGCUCACCGACGAAACAAGGCCGCCGCGAGACUACAUCCCUAUUGCCGGCCGCGGCGUCUACAUGGAGCAAGACAAUGCCAUCUACAUGCUCCGUGGGAACACCAUCUAUGCCUACAAGCUCAGCUACAUACACCAGGAUCAGGGUGAUGAUCAGGGGAGGGGGAGGCUCAGGCUGGAUCCGCCCAUCACCAUCGACUCUGUAUGUCCUUACAGUUCAUGUCAUGGGUGUGGCUUCCUCACCCGUCUCGACGGUCGGCUCAUGUGCUCCGUCUGGAUCAGCCUGGCACCACGUCAACAAUUAGAAGAUUGCCGGUGUGACAACCUACAUGCCAUUGUCACCACCUUCAACCUCCAAGAUCCAGCUCAGGGGGGAAUAGAGGUGCUGCAUUCCUCUUUCCGCCGGGUAGACAUGGAGCGCAAUCGAGAGAACCAGGAAUUCUGCUUUCUACAGGAGUACGAGGACAAGGAUUGUCCGGUGCUGCUGCAACACCAAGAAGGGCAUGAGAAGGAUCUAACCAGCUGUUCCCAGCAACACGUCGACCAACCCUCCAAGAUGCUUGAUUGUUGCAGACGGUUUCUCGAAAUGAAAGACUGUCCAAGCUUUUGCUUUUCCUGCGGCACCAAAGGUCACGUUGCCCGCGACUGCUCUCUCCCGUCACAGCAGCCCUUGCCGGCAAUGCCUCACCGCACGCUGGUUGGCUGUCCUUCAAUGCAACACCGAGUCCCUUUUGAAAGGCGUCCGGUUGCUACAACAAGUAUCAAUAAAGAUCUGUUUAUCAUCUGCCAAGCUGGGUCAGAACUAGUCAUCUACCAUACAGGCGUUAUGGAUGAGACUUCACUGUUGCAAGGAGGAGGAGACGACGGCAAGCUUCUCCAACCGUCGUGUUAUGUUGCAGCAUAUGUUGGUGAUGGUGACUAUUGGCACUUUUUCCUUCACAGUGGCUCAAAAAUACACGCCGUUUCGAGGAAUAGAGAUGGCAUGCUUGAGUUUAGUCUGAACAAGGACCGUACGAUGGCUAUGGAUCGUCUAUCUGUACGGCGGCUGCCAAGUGCUGAUACUUUUGUUUUGUUUAUCACAGUUGGUGGAGAGACCAUUGCCCUUACUGAUACUCUGAAAGUUUUCCAUCAGACAAGGUUCAGUUAUGGAUCCACCACGUGGCUGCGUUGCAAGACAGAUCAGUCGCAUGUUCUCCACAGGAAGGUUAUGAUAUCUGGAUAUGUAGCAGUGAAUGACGAUUCCUUUAUAGUCUGUGAUGCUCUCACAGGUUCCUGUCUUUUGUUUGACCUGGGUGCCAAGCAAUGGCGUGUUGUCAUGCCUUGGGCAGCAUUCGCAGAGGACCUGCCAAGGACUUGCCCUACAAAGUGCCAUUUAAAUGGUAGAUGUGUGUCUGUCGAUGGCUUUAUCUACACAUGCAGAGAUGGAGGGCUUGCUGCUUAUCAGCUGCUUGAUAAAGAUCAUUCUGUGUAUCUCAGCGAGCCCAUCCUUUUGCCAUUCUCAUGGCUUGUGGAUGAUUGUGUGGGUGAGGACAUGUGCUUGGAUUAUGCUGGCAAAGAUGUGGACUCUGGUGCUAUUUUGUUUUACGUGGUGCAACUGCAAAGUGGAUAUCGUCCGCCCAAGCAUGAUGUACAGAUCACCAUUGUCCAGGUUAAGACUAAAGCAACAACCAGCAGCAAGAAAAGGGAACCAGUGCGAGUUACCCCCGUGGACUGUGUCACGCGGUUCAUACAUCACGAGGAAGCCGUCGAUGCCAGAUGCUGCUUUGCGCUCUAG
rnacentral:rRNA from 1 species